CUCGUGACCCGCAGACGUCCACCCUGCGUUUUCUGCCUGGAAACAUAAUACGAGCUGAUCGGAGCUGUGAAAACGCAAGACUCCGGGGUCUGGAGCUGUCGUUGGGUAAAGUCUUGCUGUGCCUCGGCUCGUUCACGCAAUAUUAUUGAUCUGUUUUUAUCCCAGCCAAGGUGACAAAUGCUCCAUAAGCGCAUGCUGUGUAUGAAGGUCUAACAGUGGUCUCAACACAUUACUGUCCUGCUAGUUUUAAGAAGGGCACUGUUGUAGUCAAGCCGAAACGCUCUGACAGACAGCUGCUGGAUAUUAUCAUUAACGUCUUACUGAACAAUUAAGGACACUAAAAUAAAUGGGUUUGGAGAACAGUACCAAUUCAGCCGCUGACCAGCGACAGAGGAAUCAAGACAAUCUUCCAUCCCAAGGUGAGGUAUCUUCAUCCAGUGUCAACAAUGACACUGGUCCUGACCCUGGAGACCCUCUGCAUUCAGAGACUGAACUGCCCCAAUGCAGAAUGGGCACCAGAAAAGUAGACGACAUGAGUUUUAUGAUCUCAUGCACAAACUGGUACUAGAGAUCUGAGCUGAUGCACCAUGAAAGAACCUCGGUGCCUGGUGAAUUUGUGCUAUAAUCAGCAUGGGACAACAUAAGACAAGAUGUUGCUGGCUAAGAUGUAAUGUUGUUUAAAUGAGUUUUGUGUAAUUUAUCAGUAAUACAUUGUUCAAUGUGUUUUGCUUAGGUUUGCAUUUCAUGUAAUGUAAAACAUAUGGUGACUCUAACACAAUCGGUUCUACCCAACAGCUGUGCACUUAUCUAUUGACUGCAUGAUAUCAGACACAAACAUUGUUACAUACUGUAGUUGAUAUUCACCUAUACUAUUUGCACAAGUGAAAUAUGUAUGCACAAGUAUUAUGGACAUAAUCGUCAUAUUAUAUCGUAAACAUCCAUCCAGUAAUUAUUAGACACGUGAUAUUUCUGUAAUUUUAUUUUAUUGACAUUUCUUUAAACAUGGCGAUAUUAGAUUACACAGUGUAAAACUGUAUGCUCAAAGCCAAAAAUAAAAUGACUAAUUGUUUAUAGAAUUAAAAACAGAAUUUAACAUAUAAAACUUAAAUUAUAUCUAAUAUUCGUCAAUUUAAAAUCACUCUCAUUCUUAAGAAUGAUAACAUUAUGCAUGACAAUGUGAAAUCAUAGGCUACUGUUAGAGUGAAAGAAAAAUACAAAAGGUUGAACUUUAAUACGUUUCUGAAGUAAAUAAAGUCUGUAUUUACAUGGCCGUUAAAAGCUGGACAAAAGCUGAGCAGACAGCAACAUUUGACCUGUAAAUCAUUAGAAAAUAUCAACAUUUUACAGUCAGAAUCAGAAUUGGUUGGUUUAAAUUCUGUCAAAGGGGAAUAAAAACAAUUAUAUACACCAAUACAGUUUAAAUUCCCCUGUGGUCAGUCAAGAAAUAUUACUCAACAAAAAUGUUUAAAGCUAUCUCGGAUAAAAUCUCCAUUAAAAUGAACCUUCUGUAAUCAAAAGCAUAAAUACAGUGGGUUCCUUGACUACCUCUGAUAUGUUUGUCCUAUUGUUAGUCUCAUAAAAGUACCAUUAAAAAACAAAAGGCAACAGCAGCUCAGGUUAAAAGUGACUGUUGUCCAAAGCCACAAUCAUACCCAUUAAAAAAAGAGGCAAGUUA